CCGGUGUUGAAAAUCAUGGAACUCUCGAUAUCCAACAUGGCCUCUGAUACGCUGGACAGCAAGACCAUGAGGCUCUCCAGAUCAGCUCGUUCGACGACAGUGCCAUGGCCACUGAGUUUCUUUAUUUCUGCUAUCACCAUCCUAGUGAUAGUAUUUCUCUCAGCACCUGCAACGUAGUAACAAUAAUUCUUAUGGGUACAUGAAUGUGGCCAAGCAAACGCUAAGGAUAUGCACUCAUUAAUUGUUUCGAAUGGGGAAUGUAUGAAUGACUGGCUUGGAGGAUUCAUCAAUUAUUUUAGGAAGAAGGAAUAGAUAUUACAGAAAUGAAUGAAGAAGAGAUUAGGAGGGAGCCAACACUUUUGGUGCUAAGGAACAACACAACCAGUGUUUCACCUGCAGUCUUUCUGAUGGAGUCAUCGCUGCUAUCACCAUUAACGAAGAUUCUUAUGAGCAUCUUCGUUAGAUUACCUCUGUUUUCAGUUUUGUCCAUGCAUAACUGCGUGAGGAUCUGCAUGGCCUUCAUGUGCAGCUCUCCGCCUUUACAUCCUUCACAGAAACAUGAUCAGUGUGUGGUGGGGACUGCAGAUGAGCAAUGAGUCAACCUGGAGGAGCAGACUUGGCAACUAGAGAAUGAGCUCGUGGUUAAAGAAAGGGAGGCGCUUCAUGUGCUCAAAGAACUGGAGUCAGCCAGUUACCGAAUACAACAACUCACGAUGAGCAAUGAGUCAGCCAAGAGGAUUAUCGCAUGUUGAAGUUACCGAAUACAACAACUCACGAUGCAUUAGAACCGGUACAACCGGAGGAGAAGCAGCCUGUGGACAAGUAAUGUAUCACUGAAGUUCCCACGGCAGAUCCUGAAGAGGAUGUCUGAGGGAAAUUCCUGUAAUGCUACAUCUACGGGCACUUUGUCUACGGAAUGGAUUUACGGGAUGACGUGUUGGGGAAUUGUGCGCUAGAAAAUUAACCAACCUCAAUCCAGGCCCAACCGCAUCAGGCCACGGCUUUGUCCGUAAGCAAAAUCCGUAAGUAGAGCCCGUAGGUGUAGGAUUA